GAUGAACGCUGGCGGCGUGCCUAAUACAUGCAAGCCGAGCGAACGGACGAGAAGCUUGCUUCUCUGAUGUUAGCGGCGGACGGGUGAGUAACACAUGGAUAACCUACCUAUAAGACUGGGAUAACUUCGGGAAACCGGAGCUAAUACCGGAUAAUAUUUUGAACCGCAUGGUUCAAAAGUAAAAGACGGUCUUGCUGUCACUUAUAGAUGGAUCCGCGCUGCAUUAGCUAGUUGGUAAGGUAACGGCUUACCAAGGCAACGAUGCAUAGCCGACCUGAGAGGGUGAUCGGCCACACUGGAACUGAGACACGGUCCAGACUCCUACGGGAGGCAGCAGUAGGGAAUCUUCCGCAAUGGGCGAAAGCCUGACGGAGCAACGCCGCGUGAGUGAUGAAGGUCUUCGGAUCGUAAAACUCUGUUAUUAGGGAAGAACAUAUGUGUAAGUAACUGUGCACAUCUUGACGGUACCUAAUCAGAAAGCCACGGCUAACUACGUG
rnacentral:rRNA from 1 species